UACGUAGGGGGCAAGCGUUGUCCGGAAUUAUUGGGCGUAAAGCGCGCGCAGGCGGCUAUUUAAGUCUGGUGUUUAAACCUUGGGCUCACCUAAGGUCGCACUGGAAACGGGUGGCUUGAGUACAGAAGAGGAAAGUGGAAUUCCACGUGUAGCGGUGAAAUGCGUAGAUAUGUGGAGGAACACCAGUGGCGAAGGCGACUUUCUGGGCUGUAACUGACGCUGAGGCGCGAAAGGCGUGGGGAGCAAACAGG
rnacentral:rRNA from 1 species